AACGAACGCUGGCGGCAGGCCUAAUACAUGCAAGUCGAGGGGCCCGUAAGGGCACCGGCGCACGGGUGCGUAACGCGUGGGAAUAUACCCUUCACUACGGAACAACGUCGGGAAACUGACGCUAAUACCGUAUGAUGACUCCGGUCCAAAGAUUUGUCGGUGAAGGAUUAGCCCGCGUCUGAUUAGCUAGUUGGUGAGGUAACGGCUCACCAAGGCGGCGAUCAGUAGCUGGUCUGAGAGGAUGAUCAGCCACACUGGGACUGAGACACGGCCCAGACUCCUACGGGAGGCAGCAGUAAGGAAUAUUGGACAAAGGAGGAAACUCUGAUCCAGCCAUGCCGCGUGAGUGAAGAAGGCCUUCGGGUUGUAAAGCUCUUUUAAUCGUGAAGAUAAUGACGGUAGCGAUAGAAAAAGCUCCGGCUAAAUUCGUGCCAGCAGCCGCGGUAA
rnacentral:rRNA from 1 species